rnacentral:RNase_P_RNA from 1 species
UGGCAAAUGCUGCAUUUUUAAUGUAGAGGAAAGUCCAUGCUCGCACAAGCUGUGAUGCUUGUAGUGUUUGUGUCUAGAGAAAAAAUAAUCUAGAGUAGCUUUGCUAACGGCUCCGAGGCAACCUUAAAUGGUUGUAGUAGGUAUAAAAGUGCCAAAGAGACGAGCUUAUUUGGAAACGAAUAAGGUGGAACGUGGUAAACCCCGCAAGCGAGAAACCCAAAAUUUGGUAGGGGAACUUUUACGAAGGAAUCAAACGGAGUAAAGGAUAACUUAGGUUAUAGAUAAAUAUUUGCCGCUUACUUAGGUAAGUACAGAACAUGGCUUAUAA